GAAAGAAUUUCAAAUAAUAAUUUAUACUAGUUAAGGACCCCGCCAUAUGUGGCGAAAAAGCAGUACAAUAAUAAAUUAUUAUAAUUAUUAAUAUUAUUUUUUUUAUCUACUAAUAUUUUUAAAUAUUAUUUAUCUCAGUAUUGAAUAAUUAAAAAUUAAAGAAUAAAUUUAGAAUGAAAUUAAAGUAUAUUUCAGUCUAAAAAUAUUUAAACCUAAUAAAUAAAAUGAAAACAUCAGUUUAAAAUAAAACAAAAGCUUAUUACAGCAUUAAGAAAGAUAAAUAAUACUUUUCUAUUCUCAUCAAGGUAGAAUUUACAAAACAAAAAUAAAAGCAUUACGUGGAGUGAAAAUACUAGUUUUGGUAUUCUUAGUAGCAACGUCUUCAUUGUGCCCUUAUUAACUUUUAUUGUUACACAUACAACUAAUAAAGUAUUUGAUUCAUAAAUUUUAAUUUAGUGAAGAAAUCAGUAGGUAAUAAUCAGAAGCAAAAAAAAUAAGACUAAUAAAAAGACAUUCGAAAUCAAAAUAGAUAUUUUUUACACAGUAAAAAAAUUCAACUACCAAAUAUUAUAUUAUUAUAUAAAUUAAUNN
rnacentral:lncRNA from 1 species